rnacentral:rRNA from 1 species
AACGAACGCUGGCGGCAUGCCUAACACAUGCAAGUCGAACGAGACCUUCGGGUCUAGUGGCGCACGGGUUCGUAACGCGUGGGAACCUGCCCUUAGGUUCGGAAUAACUCCCCGAAAGGGGUGCUAAUACCAGAUCAUGUCUUCGGACCAAAGAUUUAUCGCCUUUGGAUGUGCCCGCGUUGGAUUAGCUAGUUGGUAGGGUAAAAGCCUACCAAGGCGACGAUCCAUAGCUGGUCUGAGAGGAUGAUCAGCCACACUGGGACUGAGACACGGCCCAGACUCCUACGGGAGGCAGCAGUGGGGAAUAUUGGACAAUGGGCGAAAGCCUGAUCCAGCAAUGCCGCGUGAGUGAUGAAGGCCUUAGGGUUGUAAAGCUCUUUUAACCGGGAUGAUAAUGACAGUACCGGGAGAAUAAGCUCCGGCUAACUCCGUG